rnacentral:rRNA from 1 species
CAUCACUACGCUAGAUGCAUAUCAAUAAGCGGAGGAAAAGAAACUAACAAGGAUUCCCCUAGUAACGGCGAGUGAAGCGGGAAGAGCUCAAAUUUGAAAUCUUAAAGGGUUUCCCUUUACGAAUUGUAGUUUAAAGAAGUGUUUUCUGUUGGAGUUUCGGUAAAAGUUCUUUGGAAUAGGACAUCAUAGAGGGUGAGAAUCCCGUAUUUGACCGUUACUUUCCAGCUGUGUGAUACACUUUCAAAGAGUCGGAUUGUUUGGGAAUGCAGUCCAAAAUGGGUGGUAAAUUUCAUCUAAGCUAAAUAUUGGCGAGAGACCGAUAGCGAACAAGUACCGUGAGGGAAAGAUGAAAAGAACUUUGAAAAGAGAGUUAAACAGUACGUGAAAUUGUCAAAAGGGAAGCGUUUGACACCAGUGUUGUUUAGUUGAAAAUCAAUUCAAUAAUUUUUGAUUUUAAGUAGUAUUGACUUCAUCAGCUUGCUGCUUUCUUUUCAGGAAUUAUUGAAUGCACUUUUCAGUUAACAAGUCAACAUCAAUUUCUUUUGUUGUAAAAGGGUAAGAGGAAGGUGGCUUACGCUUCGGCGUAAGUGUUUAUAGCCUUUUACCUCUGCAAUCGGAGAGAUUGAGGACAGCAGCGUAGACUCUUCGGGGUUAGAUACACUUGUGCUAAGCUAUAGCCUUGUAUAGACAACUUGUUGACUAUGCUCAGUCAUGUAGCUUACUCGCAUGUGCUAUUUUACCUACGCUUAGGAUGUUGACGAGACUGUCGAUCUC